GUCAUAAUGGUCUAAUGGUUUAAGGUGCCAAACACAAGUUUUGGUCUUUGUGUGAGGGCGUGGGUUCAAAUCCCACUUUUGACA
rnacentral:tRNA from 1 species